rnacentral:misc_RNA from 1 species
UAUUUUACCAUUCCAUUCGCGUCGGGUGCCCGCGCCGAACGCACGCUCGCUCUGUAACCGUCCGUUCCAAUCGUAUUCAAAUAUAAAACUAGUGUGAACCAACCCUGUCGUGUUUCCCCUUGUUGUCUCCCUUAUCAUUUCCGAGUUUUGAGUGAACCGCGUGAUUGGUGAAAACUUUUGUGGAAUGAAAUGUUGAUAAACGUAUUUUAUCGGCUUGUGCAACUUAUGAUGGACACCAUUGGAACAAUUUAAUUGUGGUUUUGUAAAAGGUGGGCGACCAGCUGGUGAGCGUGAACGGGUACCGAGUCGACGACGCCGUGCACGGCGAGCUGGUCCACUACCUCGCGUCACAGUCACGCCUCAAGAUCAAAGUCAGACAUGUGGGAAUGGUGCCAAUAAAAGACAAAGCCCACGACUCCCUCUCGUGGCAGUACGUGUCGGACCGUGCGUCACUGGGCUCCGACGUUUCGUCUUCACCGACUCUGUGUCACGACACGGAACGCAUGGCUGACCUGCGGCUGUCAAUACUCGUGCCGCCCAGGGCCAAACUAGGCUGCGGGAUCUGCAAAGGCCCCGAGUGGAAGCCGGGCAUCUUCGUGCAGUUCGUGCGGGAGAAUGGGAUCGCCCGGGAGGCGGGCUUGCGGCCGGGGGACCAAAUACUGGCGUGCAACGGGCAGGACUUCGCCAACGUUUCUUUUAAUGAUGCUAUCUCAGCUAUGAAAGCGUCAGGCCGACUGGAGUUGCUCAUCCGCGAAGGAGCCGGUACCGAGCUGGUGUCUCCAGAGAGUUCCGGCUACAACAGCUCAGCGUCAUCGGCCGCGGGGGAGAGGAGUCCUGCACCAGUCGCGCACGUGCCCCUUGCGCCUCCAGCAGCGUUGAGGAGGCGGCUCGCCAGUGUGGCUGAGGAGGCUGCUGACCGCGCUGACAGACUGAAUAUGAAUCGACUGAAGCGUCGGACAUGGGAUAGUUUAGACUUCGACUGGAAGAACAUGGACAUUCACAACUUCGACGCACCAUCAGACAUAGAACCCGAUUACGAUAGCCCUAGUAUACCAAAUAACCCCCACACGUACGAAAAUAAAAGUAAUAUUAGGAAAAAUAAUAUGAAUAAGAAAGAAAUAAUUAGCAGCCCAUCAAAUAGAACUAUAAUUAAUUUAACUGAAGACGGUGCCACGAUACAAUGUAGUUACGACAAUCAAUCUCCUAGGAAAAGUACAUUUUCGGCGAAUCAGUCAAAUAGGGAAAAUGAUAAGAAGACGAUAGUGGUGGAGGUGCAUCACACAAGCGCUCCGGCUUGUGGCAAGCCGCAUUGCAAUUACCCGCCGCCUAUGAAGAAGGACCUCAGCUCUGACAAUGCAAGUAUUUCCAGUUGUGGGACGCUAUCGAGUGCUAUCGCCGAAGAAAUACAGAAACGAAAAUUGAACAAGAAGAAUUCGAAUCCAGAGAACAGCCUACCUUUAAGUCUCAUAAAGAAGGCGAGCUUGCCGGCGCCGGUCGACGACAAGAAGAAGCAGCACGACGCGCUCAUGGACGAGUUCAAGAAGGUGCACCGGAAGAUGUUCUCGGGACAGGACCCUUGCGAAACGGCGAACACUGAGAACAAUGUGGAUAGUUUGGAUCGCCAGCAAACGCUGCCGCUGAGGAAGUUAGAAGUCCAGCCAGAAACCCAUACCAACGGCCACCAGGCGAAGCGAGAACUGACCAAUGGCCAUCAACAACCGAAGCGAGAAUUGACCAAUGGCCAACAGCUACGAGAAACUUUCAACGGGCACAUUCAAAAACGAGACACAGCGAACGGGCAUAUAAGCGAAGCUUUGAAUGGGCACAUUCUGCAGAAACGCGACGAGUUGAAUGGGUUUCAGCAGAAGCGGGAAGCGAAUGGACAGCCGCAUUCUAAUGGACUUGUAAAACGUGAAGCCGCGGACAACCCUCCUCCACCACCACCGAUGCCGGCGGUGAAUGGUCAACAGAACGGAGAACAUAAAAAACUAGACAUAUCGAAAUCGAUUCCAAAAACACUUAACACGGAUCUGGUUAACUCUUUGAACCAAAGAAAUGGUUCGUUGGCACGAACGCCGACGCCCGACUACAAUAACAAGACAGAUUUUAAGACACAGUUUAAAUUGAAAAGCGUGAAAGAUGACAAGGCCGAGCUGGACUCACUAGAGUCAUAUACAUUGAAGAAUCCAGCUAACGUGCAACCUAAGCCGCCAUCGAAUUAUUUUGUGAAAGCUCCAAACGGGACAACGACUAUGAAGAAACUGCGACCGGUGUCCGUCACGAUCGGGGAGUACGCCACAGGCGGGAACAGCCGGCGGGAACCUUCCAAGCUGGAGUUCCUCAAUGGUGACAAACCUGACGGGCCUAUGCCGGCAGACGACGAAGAACAUAUUUCCAACAGACUUCAGUCGGAGUUAGCGCUCACACUUUCUAGGUCAAAUUUACGCAAAAAGACUGACGCAUUGGCUUAUCAGAUAGGUCCAGAUAUCCAGAGAGUUGAUAACGAAGAUAGUGAUUGGUCUAUAGACAAAAAUUUUCACGCCAGAUAUGGAAACAAUCUAUUGCCUCUACCGCCGACCAUAACAAUACCCAAAGUAUCGAAAGUAAAGCAUUGAGAGGCGUUACUAAUAUCUUUGUUAUUGCGUCAUUAUCCAUUGUCUUUUAAACAGAGAUGAUUAUAAUAUGCCGACGCGGGUCGAUGAUUUGAAGAUCACUUUGAUUUGUGAUUGCAAGUAGUUUAAUUAGUGUGUUUUAUGCCGCGUAUCACAUCACGUAUUUUUAAUUCAGUAAAUUCUGUAUAAUUAUCUUAGUAUAUCUGUAAAUAAAAAAGUAUAUAUCUAAUUGAAUAAUUCAAAAGUCCCGAAGAAGAAAUUGCUAUUAACUGGUUUGAAAAACGUUUCAAUUGAAUUUAUUUAUUUUUGUUGCUUUAGAAAAUAUUUACUAUAGGCACUGAACAGUGAAUUACCAAAGGCGCGUUCGAUAAUUUGUUUGGGAGUCAGGUCAAAACUGUAUUAUUGAUAUGAUAUAGGUAGAGACAAGCUUACAUAUUGAUAGAAUACCUAACGUUUGUAUGGUCAAUGUGGAGAGGACAGGCAUUUUAAUAAUUUCAAGGAAGACUAAGAAAUAUUGUCGCUCUAGCAUAGAUGGAGUAAGUGCAUAGGUACCAAAGCCGGAGUAAAAAGCGAUUGAAGAGCUUAUCAACUGUCUUUUCCACAUUGACAGUUUAUAGACGAGGCAGCUGUCAGUACCUAGUAGAAAAAAUAAUAAAGUGGGUAAGGUACAGCGGGGCAAAUCUCGACUGGGGGACAAAUGUAACUGGUCCAUUUUUUCCAUGUUUUACAAUAUUUGCAUGUUUGCAUUAUUAAAUAGAGUUUCCACCAGUUAUAUAUGAUAGGUGUGUUCAGUGGAUACAUGUAGAACUCAACAUCAUAGUGUGAUAAUGCAAAUAUUCUUCAGUUACAAUUGCCCCCCAGUCGAGAUUUGUCCCGCUGUACCUAUACAUUUGGGUGAAUUUUAUAUGAAUGUAAUAGCUGCACUGGAAAAAAAAAUGUCUAUAAUUAUAAUUCCAUAACCAGGUAGGUAGGUAGGCACAGGCAUCUACAUACAUAUAUCAUAGUGUAACUACAUUUUUAGGUUCCUACGAAGAAUGGCACUGAGAUUUCUUAAUGAAUAAUACCUAAUUGAUGAAAAAUUGCUCAUGUAAUUAAGUAUAUCAAGUACAUACCUACUCUCAACAAUUUUAUACUGUCUUUGUAUCACAAGUAGGAAAUAAGGGUAGGUACAUACUUUCUUAAUAUGAAAUAUUUCAAUAAACUGUACAUUCAGCUUUGUUCCAGUAUACCUAAGUAGGCAUGUGUGUUUAGUUUAUAUUAGGCGUCAAAUGUUUUAAGACGGAUCACUGUCUAAUUUUACGAAUUACCUAAGUCAUAAUCGUAGAUAUUAAUAAACAGUUGAAUAUUUAUGGAAA